UUAUUGAACAAAAAUGGUGAUAUUGUUCCUCUAUUGAUUAAGAAUUUUAACGAAAUCGGUACCAAAUCGAGGAAAACUCUUAAUACUAGAUAUGACCUCAAAAUAAUAGGGGUCAAUGUCGGCCAUUGAGACGAUGGGGGAUAAGCUUCACCAUCAAAAAGGAAACAACCCUGAUCACCAACUAAGACCCUUAAAUGACCGCUCAGUGAUAAAAGAGGUAGGGGUACUAAAACAACCAGGAAGUUUGCCUAGAAGUAGCCACUCUUAAAAGAGUGUGCAAUAGCUCACUGAUCGAGUGCU
rnacentral:rRNA from 1 species